GACGUAGGGCGCGAGCGUUGUCCGGAUUUAUUGGGCGUAAAGAGCUCGUAGGCGGCUUGUCGCGUCAACUGUGAAAACCCGUGGCUCAACCAUGUGGUCUGCAGUCGAUACGGGCAGGCUAGAAUUCGGUAGGGGAGACUGGAAUUCCCGGUGUAGCGGUGGAAUGCGUAGAGAUCGGGAAGAACAUCGGUGGCGAAGGCGGCCAGCUGGGCCAUUGCUGACGCUGAGGCGCGACAGCGUGGGGAGCAAACAGG
rnacentral:rRNA from 1 species